rnacentral:snRNA from 1 species
AGCUUUGCGCAGUGGCAGUAUCAUAGCCAAUGAGGUUUAGCCGAGGCGCGAUUAUUGCUAAUUGAAAAGACCAAUCUUAGGUUUUACAAUAGUGACAUUAUCUAUAGGAGAAAUUGGGGAAGUCACAAAUCUUAUAACCUCUGUCCAUGUGA